GUUUUCGAAACCCCAGCUUGGUCUUGGGCACGAGGGAUCAGAACCCUCCGCCUGGAAUGCAGUGGCGGAUAUUCCGGCUUGGCAAGAGCGUGAUAAACACGUCGUUCGCGAUUGGAGGCCGGAAUGCGCAGCCAUAAUAAACCCCCAAACCAUGUCUCAAGUUUGACCUCGGAUCAGGUAGGGAUACCCGCUGAACUUAA
rnacentral:misc_RNA from 1 species